AUUUGCAUCGAUCAAAUGAUGCAAACAAUGUUUCCAAACCAGACCCACACGAUUCGAAAUCAAACUUUCUAAAACGGAUUCUCUAUGCAUGGUCAGCAAGGUUUCGUUUAUAGUAAUUCGACAAUAAAGAACUGAGGAAUCAAUAUCAACGAAAAAUGAAUGGAAAGUCAAAUCGAACUCCUGAAGAAAUUUUUGAUGGAAGACUACAAUCGCAGUUCUUCAAAAAGGAUGUGAAUAAAUAAAAUGAAAGGAAACAUUUUUUUUUAUUGCUCUUAGCGGAAUAAAACUAAUGGAACGAUUAGUAUUGGUGAUUUGAGCUAGUGGUGCGGUCGCAUUAAAUUACUAUUAGUAGCAGCCAGUGACAUUUUGCUCAAGGUGCUGGAGGUACCGCUCUGUUCCU